ensembl:ncRNA lncRNA:iab8 long non-coding RNA:iab8
UAGAACUGGCAUUGUCUUGCCACCAGACGGCAGGAUGAAGGACUCAGUACCGGGACGCAGCACCCAGAACUAUCAGCAGCAGCAACAGAGAGCAAUAUGCCAGGGGGUUGGGGAGGGAUCAAAUUAUGCGAAACUGCAUUUUCACUUUUCGCAUCGCCAAGCCCGGCCAUUUGCACCAUAAGGCCAACUGAUGGAGAUGGCCGAGCUGCAGCUGCUCCUGGUUCCUCUUGGUCAUCUGCGUCUUCGCGUGUGUUUGUGUGUUUUUAUAACAUUUGUGGAUUACGCCUAUAAAAACUACACUUCACCGCGAAGCCAGCGAAGUGGGCACCAGCUACAACAAAGGACAACAAUUAUUCUGCAAAAAUGAUACAACCUGUCGCUCGAGAGAUUACAAACGGAGCUGCUUUUAUGGUUUGUUCCGCUUUUGUUUAACGAUUCCGAGGAUCACACGUAAUAACCCACGCAAUCCACCACCGAAGUCGGAAAACCGACUCAACGGAACGCAGCGCAACUUGACUCAACCGAAACUCGACACUUAUCCCUGGGAACUCAAAAUAGUGUUUUAUUGUUGGAAAUUACGAUUCUUUUAUUUAUUUACUUUUUCUGCAUUUCUUUGCCGCCCCACACACACCCACCGUUUCAAUUUUUAUAUGUUUAUUACGGUUAUUAUCGCUUAAUGGGGCUCGCUCGCUGGUUAUUGCUGUUGUUGUGUUGCUUGCACCAGUAGUUGUGUCAGACUAACGUGUGAAGUUGUUUUAUUAUUUGUUUUGAUUAUCAAAAUGGGCGUUUUACAUUUUUCCGGUCGUUGGGCGGCCCACCUGCCACGGGCCCACCGCUUAUAGUCCACAUCCCAUAACCCCGGGGCAAGGGCAGUAAAUCACGGCCCGCUGUGAGUGGCUGAGUACCUGGGCAGCAGUACACUUGAAAAAUAAUAACCCUUCUCUUUUAAAAUAUUGGACGGCUAGACAUAAUAUUCAAUUACAAAUACAUCACAGCAAUAAACCAUUUUUCGGGCUUCUAUAACAAGUUGAAUUAACCUAAAGAACUUUUUAAUUUAUUUAAAAACCAUUUUGAAUUUAUUUAGUUAAAUUUAGUUACUUAAAAUGUUCCAUCAUGUAUAAAUUAGUAAUAUGUCAUAAAAAUAGUUUAAUUCAAUACUAUUUCGUUACAAUAAUACGAAUUUUGCAUCAUCAAAGGUUAUACAAAAUAAAAUUACCAGUUAUAUUUUCAGUGCAUGAGUAAAUCCACUCAUUCGCACUCGCUGUAUGACCCAUAAGCAGAAACCAAAGUGUGGCAAAAUGCUUAAUUUAGAAUUUAUGAGCAAUUAAUUUUAAAGCGCUCUCUGGCCAUUAACGCCGUUACUGCUUCUCCCCCUUGACCGUAAUACACCUUUGGUCAUUAAAGAAUUAAGAAGCCAGUGUGCCAAAAAUUGAUUGUUUAGCCAAUCCGCUGAUGGAUCAAUUAUUCAAUUGUUAUAGCCAAAGAGUUGGCAAUCCAAUUUGAGCACGAGUCGUAUUCCAACAAAUAGACAGGUAGGAAGCACAUUAACUGGUAGAUUUAUGAAUAAGAAAUAAUUUAAAUAAAUUUGUUAUGCUUUAGAAAUUGUUUAUUAAGGUUAAUUUAUGAGUGUUAAAUGGCUAAAAAUUAUUUAAUUGAAGGAUAAGAAAAUGUUGUGAUGUGGUAUGAUUUAAAUAAAAAAUACAAAAAUAAAUAUAGAAAAACU